CAUAGGCACUUCUAGAGGUGUCUCCUCCUGACAGCGAAGACACCAUUACCUUGAGAAGCUUGAAGAGGGUAAUUGUUCUCUUCCUCGAGCGUGAAAGGAAUUUUUACUGGUGUCUCUUUAAUGAUCUCAGCCUGAAGUGGAUGGAAAAGGCAUGAUGGCCCUGUGAGAAGAACUUCACAGAAGACAGGAAACUUUGAAAGUUCACAACACUGGGAAGAAGAAGCAUAAAGAUGGAAAUGCUUAAGCCGAUUUUACAAACCAAUUACUGUUCGGUUCUCAAAAUCUGAAACUUGUUCAAGAUUUAAUACACACUGGACAGCCUCAGAACUCCUUGAAGAAUAAUAAUUCAAACUUAAUGCACAAUGGAAGCUGACUCCCAUUUCUGUAUUCUCUAGCCUCUAUGUUUUUCAGUUAAGGCUCAGGAAGUAAAUACUUCACUGGUCUCAGGAAGUUCCUGAAACAAAUAAGACUCACAAGUCUCCUCCCCUAAAUUGUGGAAGCACUGAAGAAUUUCUGGGGGAGGAACCCCUCCCUCUAUCAGCUGAGUAGCCUGAAGGAAACUUUGUCAAGCUGCCUACAUGUUAUUCAGAGAGCUCCAGGACCAUGGCUUUUGUAAGCUGUCCCCAAUGCUGGAGUGGGCUUCUCAGUGAUGUACCUGCUUUUGAGUCAUCCAUGUUCUUGAUGCCUCAUGGUAUAAUCAUCUGACUGUAUCUCUGAAACAUCAUUAGGAUUUGGGAAGCAUGUUAACAAACACUUGAUGAAGCCACUCUGAAGAAAACACCAUUAAUCAUGUCAUCUGAUAAAAGACACGUCAGUUGCUGAUAAGAGAAGACAGCCACUGAGAGGCAUGGGACUGAAAGAGGGACUGUUGAAGUAACCAGUCUGGAUAGUUUAUGAAUGCCUUCACUUUAAAAUGGAACUCAAAAAAUGCAUGGCUUUGGGGAUGAAGUUUUGCUUUUAUUUUCACAGUAAAUGAGAGGCUAUGGAUUCCUUCAGUGUUGAUAUGGAUUUGAGGAGACCUCCUGAAUAUUGACAGGUGACAUAGAUAAACAAAGAUUAUAGCUGGUCUUCCCAGGACUUGGCCAUUAUCUCAAUUUUCUCGGGGAACCCUAAAGAUGCCUUUGCCCACAGACCACAGGAAGCAGUCUAGAGAAGACAGCACCCACAUUCCCAAGAAAUGAGUGGGUGGUUGUUGGCUAUUUGGUGGGUUAUGGA